AAAUGCGAUAAGUAAUGUGAAUUGCAGAAUUUAGUGAAUCAUCGAAUCUUUGAACGCACCUUGCGCUCCUUGGUAUUCCUUGGAGCAUGCCUGUUUGAGUAUCAUGAAAUCUUCAAAGUAAAUCUUUUGUUAACUCAAUUGGUUUCUACUUUGGUAUUGGAGGUCUUUGCAGCUUCACACCUGCUCCUCUUUGUUCAUUAGCUGGAUCUCAGUGUUAUGCUUGGUUCCACUCGGCGUGAUAAGUUAUCUAUCGCUGAGGACACUGUAAAAGGUGGCCAAGGUAAAUGCAGAUGAACCGCUUCUAAUAGUCCAUUGACUUGGACAAUACUUUUAUGAUCUGAUCUCAAAUCAGGUAGGACUACCCGCUGAACUUAAGC
rnacentral:misc_RNA from 1 species